rnacentral:rRNA from 1 species
ACGCCGCGUGCGCGAGGAAGGCCUUCGGGUCGUAAAGCGCUUUUCUGGGAGAUGAGAAAGGACAGUAUCCCAGGAAUAAGUCUCGGCUAACUACGUGCCAGCAGCCGCGGUAAAACGUAGGAGGCAAGCGUUAUCCGGAUUUACUGGGCGUAAAGCGCGUGCAGGCGGUUCGGUAAGUUGGAUGUGAAAGCUCCUGGCUCAACUGGGAGAGGUCGUUCAAUACUGUCGAACUCGAGGAUGGUAGAGGGAGGUGGAAUUCCCGGUGUAGUGGUGAAAUGCGUAGAUAUCGGGAGGAACACCAGUGGCGAAGGCGGCCUCCUGGGCCAUUCCUGACGCUCAGACGCGAAAGCUAGGGGAGCGAACGGGAUUAGAAACCCCGGUAGUCCUAGCCGUAAACGAUGUGGACUUGGCGUCGGUGGGGUAAAACCUGUCGGUGCCGGAGCUAACGCGUUAAGUCCACCGCCUGGGGACUACGGCCGCAAGGUUAAAACUCAAAGGAAUUGACGGGGCCCCGCACAAGCAGCGGAGCGUGUGGUUUAAUUCGUUGCUACGCGAAGAACCUUACCCAGGUUUGACAUACAGGUGGUAGGGAUCCGAAAGGUGACCGACCCUUCGGGGAGCCUGUACAGGUGCUGCAUGGCUGUCGUCAGCUCGUGUCGUGAGAUGUCCGGUUAAGUCCGGCAACGAGCGCAACCCUCGCUGUAUGUUACAAGUGUCAUACAGGACUGCCGAUAUAAAGUCGGAGGAAGGUGAGGAUGACGUCAAGUCAGCAUGGCCUUUAUAUCUG